ACCUUAUAUUUGUAAACUUAGAGACUACCGUAGUUAAGCAGUAUACUAAAUUGCUUAAAUCAAUACAUAAAACCAGAAGAAGACGGUGGAUGAUGGUGGGCAGAGUGAGGCGAGGCAACUUUCCUCCGCCAAAGUUGGAGCCGAGGCGAAAGCGUGACCUCACAAAAGCCGCCUAGGGAAUAAGGCUGCGGCGGCGGCAGGCCCCUUUGGCGGGCCGGGACGGGCCCCGUCCAGGCGCCGCGCGGCGGGCGAUGGGCUGUGUGGAAUCCAAUGAAGUGCUUUCCUGCGAAGCGAUAGACACAAACUCAGUAGCAGCACCACCCGCGCCCCAAACGACUGCUCCAGCCUCGGAAAAAGUGAAAAAAAAGAGAAGACAUAGCUUAAGGGAAAGGUGGGCAACUGGGAAGAAGACAUCUACCGAAGAUCUGGGCCAUCGGACUGAAAGCACAAAGAUCCACGUGAUCUGGAGACGUGUUUCUCUCUUCAGCACAAAGCGAGAUUCCUUGAAGAGCAUGAGCGCAGAAGUGGCUGGGCCCAGUCAUCUGAACAGCGAUCAAGAACCUCAACCCGAUACCUCUGAGUAAUUUUGGGGAAACUCACUGAGGAGAGAGAGAAUGUGGACAGAGAAUACAGAGCAGGCUAUGGCAGCAUUGCUGCAAAAUACAGGCAGUCUUACAGCUAAGGGGAAUAAACUUUAACUAUCA